rnacentral:rRNA from 1 species
CAGUCGCGGGGCAGCGGGGGAUGUAGCAAUACAUUCUGCCGGCGACCGGCGCAAGGGUGCGUAACGCGUGAGCAACAUGCCCGUCUCAGGGGGAUAACCGGUGGAAACGCCGCCUAAUACCCCAUGGCGAUAUAUUGAGGCAUCUUGAUAUAUCUAAAGCUCCGGCGGAGACGGAUUGGCUCGCGUGACAUUAGCUGGACGGCGGGGUAACGGCCCACCGUGGCUACGAUGUCUAGGGGUUCUGAGAGGAAGGUCCCCCACACUGGAACUGAGACACGGUCCAGACACCUACGGGAGGCAGCAGUGAGGAAUAUUGGUCAAUGGGCGGGAGCCUGAACCAGCCAUGCCGCGUGAAGGCGAGUGCCCUACGGGCGUUAAACUUCUUUUGUGCGGGAGCAAUAAGGGCCACGCGUGGCCCGAUGAGAGUACCGCACGAAUAAGCAUCGGCUAACUCCGUGCCAGCAGCCGCGGUAAUACGGGGGAUGCGAGCGUUAUCCGGAUUUAUUGGGUUUAAAGGGUGCGUAGGCGGCGCUUCAGGUCAGCGGUGAAAUACCGGGGCUCAACCCCGGGGCUGUCGUUGAAACCGGAGCGCUAGAAUUCCGAUGCCGUCGGAGGAAUGUGUGGUGUAGGGUGAAAUGCAUAGAUAUCACACAGAACACCGAUUGCGAAGGCAUCUGACGAAUCGGAGAUUGACGCUGAUGCACGAAAGCGUGGGUAUCGAACAGGAUUAGAUACCCUGGUAGUCCACGCUGUAAACGAUGAUGACUAGCCGUCGGCGAUACAGUGUCGGUGGUCAAGCGAAAGCGAUAAGUCAUCCACCUGG